ensembl:snRNA U6 U6 spliceosomal RNA
UUGCUUUAGCAGCACUUAUACUAAAAUUGGAAUGAUACAGAGAAUAUUACCAAGGCCCCUGCAUAAGGAUGAUAUUCACAUUCAUGGAGCAUUCAUAUUUUGA